UGUGUAACAAGCAAAAAGCUGUGAUGCUAGCAGAUAUGGCACACAUCAGUGGUUUGGUUGCUGCUGGUGUAAUCCCUUCACCGUUCGACUAUGCAGAUGUUGUGACCACCACAACUCACAAGUCACUUCGUGGACCCCGUGGAGCCAUGAUUUUCUACAGAAAGGGUGUUAAAGAAAUUAACAAACAAGGGAAAGAGGUAAAACAAAACAGGAGCCAUGAUUUUCUACAGAAAGGGUGUUAAAGAAAUUAACAAACAUGGGAAAGAGGUA
rnacentral:lncRNA from 1 species